UGCAAGUCGAGCGGUAACAGGAGAAGCUUGCUUCUCGCUGACGAGCGGCGGACGGGUGAGUAAUACUUAGGAAUCUGCCCAGUAGUGGGGGAUAGCUCGGGGAAACUCGAAUUAAUACCGCAUACACCCUACGGGGAAAAGGGGGCGCUUGCGCUCUCGCUAUUGGAUGAGCCUAAGUCGGAUUAGCUAGUUGGUGGGGUAAAGGCCUACCAAGGCGACGAUCUGUAGCUGGUCUGAGAGGAUGAUCAGCCACACCGGGACUGAGACACGGCCCGGACUCCUACGGGAGGCAGCAGUGGGGAAUAUUGGACAAUGGGGGCAACCCUGAUCCAGCCAUGCCGCGUGUGUGAAGAAGGCCUUUUGGUUGUAAAGCACUUUAAGCAGUGAAGAAGACCUAACGGUUAAUACCCGUUAGCGAUGACAUUAGCUGCAGAAUAAGCACCGGCUAACUCUGUGCCAGCAGCCGCGGUAAUACAGAGGGUGCAAGCGUUAAUCGGAAUUACUGGGCGUAUAGCGAGCGUAGGUGGCUUGAUAAGUCAGAUGUGAAAUCCCCGGGCUUAACCUGGGAACUGCAUCUGAUACUGUCAGGCUAGAGUAGGUGAGAGGGAGGUAGAAUUUCAGGUGUAGCGGUGAAAUGCGUAGAGAUCUGAAGGAAUACCGAUGGCGAAGGCAGCCUCCUGGCAUCAUACUGACACUGAGGUUCGAAAGCGUGGGUAGCAAACAGGAUUAGAUACCCUGGUAGUCCACGCCGUAAACGAUGUCUACUAGUCGUUGGGGAACUUGAUUCCUUAGUGACGCAGCUAACGCAAUAAGUAGACCGCCUGGGGAGUACGGCCGCAAGGUUAAAACUCAAAUGAAUUGACGGGGGCCCGCACAAGCGGUGGAGCAUGUGGUUUAAUUCGAUGCAACGCGAAGAACCUUACCUGGUCUUGACAUAUCUAGAAUCCUGCAGAGAUGCGGGAGUGCCUUCGGGAAUUAGAAUACAGGUGCUGCAUGGCUGUCGUCAGCUCGUGUCGUGAGAUGUUGGGUUAAGUCCCGCAACGAGCGCAACCCUUUUCCUUAGUUACCAGCGGUUUGGCCGGGGACUCUAAGGAUACUGCCAGUGACAAACUGGAGGAAGGCGGGGACGACGUCAAGUCAUCAUGGCCCUUACGACCAGGGCUACACACGUGCUACAAUGGUAGGUACAGAGGGCAGCUACACAGCGAUGUGAUGCGAAUCUCAAAAAGCCUAUCGUAGUCCAGAUUGGAGUCUGCAACUCGACUCCAUGAAGUAGGAAUCGCUAGUAAUCGCGGAUCAGAAUGCCGCGGUGAAUACGUUCCCGGGCCUUGUACACACCGCCCGUCACACCAUGGGAGUUGAUUGCACCAGAAGUGGGUAGCCUAACUUUUAGAGGGCGCUCACCACGGUGUGGUU
rnacentral:rRNA from 1 species